UACGAAGGGUGCAAACGUUGCUCGGAAUUAUUGGGCGUAAAGCGCACGUAGGCGGCUUUGUGUGUCGGAUGUGAAAUCCCUCGGCUCAACCAAGGAAGUGCAUUCGAAACUGCAAAGCUUGAGUACUUAAGAGGAUCGCGGAAUUCCCGGUGUAGAGGUGAAAUUCGUAGAUAUCGGGAGGAACACCGGUGGCGAAGGCGGCGACCUGGGUCGAUACUGACGCUGAGGUGCGAAAGUGUGGGGAGCGAACAGG
rnacentral:rRNA from 1 species